UUUUUUUUUCGCCUGCGGCGAAAAACAAUCUAUUUUUUUCGCGACAAGUCGAAAACAAUUUUUUUCUUUCAAUUUUAGCAUUACAUAUAGUGGCAGCUGAGGGUGAAACAAACAAUUUUUUUUCUCAGAAUCAAAAACAAAUUAUUUUUUUCUCCAAAAACUGGAAACAAACUUUUUUUUCCAAAAAAAACCAUAGCCCCCCCAGAAAAUCAAAUGGUUGCUGCCUAAAUUGUAUCUGAGUUCAUUUUAUUUGAUAGUUUCGUAAUGGGUUUCUAUUUAAUAUACACCUGUGUCGGAGACAUAAUUUCACAGUGUGACAUGUAUAUUAGGCUUGAAUUAUUCGAUGGUCAGGUAAAUCACAACCUGUUUAAAAGAGUUUUAAUUGACACCUGGUACACAAGAAGUUGUUACACCACAGGUGUCCACAAUCUUUCCAAAAAUACAAAAUAUAAAAUUAAUUAAUGAGUAGAAAAAAAACUUAAUUUGUUUGUUUAUUUGCCGUUAAUCAUGAU
rnacentral:lncRNA from 1 species